CGGCGCCGGAAGCCGCCGUGCGUGCGUUACGUCGCGUGAGGUAGCUCCGGCCAGGGUCGCCUCGGCGUUUCUCCCCGCCCCGCAGUCAUGGCGGCGGAGCAGGAGGCCCUGAAGGGCGGCGGCGGCAGUGGCCGCAACCGGGGAGGCGUCCAGCGCGUCGAGGGGAAACUCCGCGCCAGCGUGGAGAAGGGAGACUACUACGAGGCGCACCAGAUGUACCGGACUCUGUUCUUCAGGUACAUGUCACAGGGCAAACACACGGAAGCCAGAGAGCUAAUGUAUUCAGGUGCCGUGCUCUUCUUCAGUCAUAAUCAGCAAAACAGCGCUGCUGAUCUCUCCAUGCUUGUUCUGGAGUCCUUGGAGAAAUCAGAUGCAAAAGUGACCGAUGAACUAUUAGAAAACCUGGCAAAAUUGUUCAGUCUGAUGGAUCAAAACUCACCCGAAAGAGUAGCUUUUGUGUCCAGAGCACUGAAGUGGUCCAGCGGUGGAUCGGGGAAGUUGGGACAUCCAAAACUACACCAGUUGUUGGCUAUCACAUUAUGGAAAGAGCAGAACUAUUGUGAAUCUCGCUAUCACUUCCUGCACUCUACAGAUGGGGAAGGCUGCGCAAAUAUGUUGGUAGAAUAUUCCGGAGCCAAGGGAUAUCGCAGUGAAGUGGACAUGUUUGUGGCUCAAGCUGUGUUACAAUUCCUCUGCUUGAAAAACAAAACUAGCGCCUUGGUGGUUUUUACGACGUACACAGAGAAUCACCCUUCCAUAGAAAGCGGGCCGCCCUUUGUACAACCCUUGCUUAACUUUAUCUGGUUUCUGCUGCUGGCCGUUGACGGAGGAAAGCUGACCGUAUUUACAGUAUUGUGCGAACAAUAUCAGCCUUCGCUGAAACGGGAUCCUAUGUAUAACGAAUACCUAGACAGGAUAGGACAGCUGUUCUUUGGUGUCCCCCCAAAACAAACGUCAUCCUACGGAGGAUUAUUAGGAAAUCGCUGUAUGCACACCUGUAUGGCAAAAGCAUCAAGAACCAACACAGCUGGAAUACAAGCCGGACCACAAAAUUAGCAGGUUGAGAAACACCGAUUUAACCGAGUUUAGGACACGUGGCUCUUGUGUUUUGACCUACAUUUCAUACCCCCAUGUCUGCAGGUUAGGUAACUUUUCCGAACCGUCUAACCUGACAGGCUUGUUCUGAAGAUUAAAAAAAAGAUUCUGCAGCGUAAAAGAGCAAGUGGGCUUUUAAAUGAUCCCCUGUGGAACUGGACAUUGGAUUGACUGAACAAAAUUACAAUCCGCCCCCUCCCAAUUGACUUAUUGGAAAUCCAUGACAUUGGACCAAGGAGGGGAACGAUCAGGCAGAGAGGAAGAGAAAAGCUGAAACUGAUCAAGGCUAGAGAGACCAGCGCCAGUGGCUUUUUCCUACAAGAUUCUUCUCCCCGGCGUCCUCAGUUGCAUCAUUGUGUUUCUCCCUGAAGUGUGCCUAGCAGUCAACACAACAUGAUUCAAGAUGAGUUCAUCCUUUUUUUUCCCUCUCCAAGGAGAAAAUUUAUCUAUUAAUUUAAUUAAUAUUAAAAUUAACCCUGUUUGGUUAAGGCAUCAGGCUGGAAAGUGGGAGGCUGUGAGUUCCAGUCCCGCCUUAAGCAUGAAAGCUGGCUGGGUGUCCUUGGGCCAAACAGCAGGAGACUCUGAGUUCUAGUCCUGCGCACAGGCACAGAAGCCAACAGGGUGACUUUGGUCCAAUCACCAGGAAGCUGUAAGUUCUAGUCCCGCCUUAGGCAUGAAAACCCGUUGGUUGACUUUGGGCCAAUCACCAGGAGACGGUGAGUUCUAGUCCUGCCUUAGUCAUGAUAGCCAGCUGGGUGAUCUUGCCCCGUUCCUUUCUGUCAACCCAACCCACCUCACAGGACUGUUGUUGAGAAAAUAAGAAGACAGAGGGUGUAUUGGAUAUGUUUACUACCUGGAGUUAUUCCUAAAAAUAAUAAAGGCAGAAAUACAAAUAGAUAAAUAAAACCUGAGCAUUGCUCUUACAGAACGGAAAGGCAGGUAAUGGGGUUCAAUCCGUUAGGGUCUUCCAUCUGGUGGGACCACAACGAAGGUCCUUCUUGGGGGGUGACCCCUUCUUUAUGGAACAUUGUUCCCUCAGAAGCAUGCUUGGCCCCCACCCUGCUACUUUUCUGAAACGCCCCAGAAAUGUGGUCUUAUCAGCAGGCCUGGGAACCCCGAACAGAGAUGGAGCCAAUGAAGCGACCGAUUCGAUUGUAUUCCUGCCAUUGGGGGAUUUGAUACCAUAGAUUUUUUUAAUGUUGUAAGCAGCCCAGAGACGCCUAUUGUGAGCGUCGGGCACCCGUGUAAAUUUCUUUAAUAAACAAACAAUAAAAUGCAUGAAAAUAAAGACAGGUUCUCCACAUACACACACGCCCCAAAACUCACAAAGCAAACCUCUUAUGUCUUUCAACAAACUUUCCCCCCAAUUCGGAUGACACACCUGGCUAGUUGAGGGAGGCUUUUCAUUUCAUCCUCGUGGCUGCGCUAGAAGAAAUAAAAUAGAAGUUUGAUUCUUUCUGUGCAAAAAAAAAAACAAAAACAAAAACCCCCAACCCAGAUCAGAUACGAUGCUAACCCUUUUUAACUUUUCAUUUGCUCCCCAAAGAGAGAGACAGCUUGAGCAUCUGGAUAUGUUUCCUCCCCUCCUUUGAUUGGAUUUGAUUUCAUUGUGAGUUACACAAUGACAAUAAAGAUGUUCUAUUCUAUUCUAUUGAUUGACCUAGGAGGGGGGGAGGUUAACUAUUUCUCCUCAUUUAUUACCCAGGUUGCAGCGAAGCAGACAUCCUUGCUCAAAGAGAGCUAUUGUGACGCCCGGAUUCUUCCCACCGUUGCAGGGGCUUUUAUAGCCUGGAGCGGAAUUCUCCGCAUAAUCUUUUAAGAAGCAGAAAUGUUGUUUAUUUUCCCAGGAACAAUCCGAGAUGGUCUGCAUAGUCAGGAUGCCUGGUUGGUCGGUCUGAAAAGAUUCUGACCCCUCUUUCCCCCCCCCCCUCUCCUGGCAGUGGCUUCUACACCUCAACUUACAACAGUCCAUUUAGUAACCAUUUUUCAGUACCUUAGCACUGCCUUAGUGCCUCAGCACAGAAAAACGUUGACUUAUGACCGUUUUUCACACAAUUACGACCGUUGCAGGAUCCCCAUGGACUUGUGAUCAAAAUUCAGACAGUUGGAAACUGGAAACUGACUCCAGUUGCGGCGUCCUGGGGUCCUGGGACCCUUUUGCCACUUCUGACAAGCAAAGUCAAUGGGUUCAUUUAACAACCGGGUUACUAACUUAAUAGCUGAGGCGAUUCAUUUAACAACUGUGGCACGAAAGGUUGUAGAAUGGGGCAAAAUUCACUUAAGAACCCUCUCGCUUAGCAACGGAAAUUUUGUGCUGAGUUGUCGUCAUAGUUUGAGAACAACCGAUAUUGUAUAUUUAUCUCACAAAGGCUGUUUCUCCUAAAGGACCUCCAGACACAUUCCUGCAGUUUCACUCAUGGAGGUUUGUUUGAUACAGGUUGUCCCCAUUUAGUGACAAUUGGGAUCAGCAACGUGGUCAUUAAGGGAAUCCACACCUGUGCUUACGGUCUUCCUUCAGCUUUCCUCCAUUUUGCUGAACUGUGAAGGUUAUCAGUUGGCGGGAAGGUUGCAAAUUCACUUUUUCAUCAAUGUCAUCACUGUGAACAGCCACUAACCGAGUCAGUCACUAACUGAGGACUCCUGUAUUCAGAUACACACCCAUACACAUCCUGUUGCAGCCAGAACCCAACACAGUCUCACAUGGGCAGAGAGAAAAAGAAGGCUAACUCUUUAAUAAAAACUCAGUACAGAGUGCAGAAAUCUAACAGCGUAAUUUCUGAUUAUUGGUUUAAGUUUUUCAUGUUUUAAUAUCAGUUUCAACACCAGUCCAAACAUUCUAUCCAAAAGCACUGCAAUCUUCUUUUCUUUUCUUU